AUGAUUUGGCCCUCUUGUCUGGCUGGAAUUUUCACCUUCUCUUCUUCUUGGAAUCUUCAGUCAUCUACACCCCAAGUUGGCCCGAGCCCCUGGUUCCUGUCUUCGGAGACCCCUCCACCCUUUGCGAGUAGGAAUCCCGGAACUGACUUUUGCCCUGGACAUUUUGACUACCCCAUACCUUUCUUCAGGCCCACCUUUCCAGAUUUUCAGCCAAGACAGGCAAACACUAAAAAUCCUUCCCGCGGGCGGGCGGGCAGACAGGCGGAGAGGACCGGCCUGCGGACCAUCGCGGCGCCUUUCCUCCUUUACCUCGGUUAUGCAGUCGACUGUGGGCCUCAGGAGGAGGGCUGCUGGAAUGGAGGUGUACGGUGUUCGAGCGGUGCGCCCUGGGUGGGAGAGCCGUAUGGGGCCAGAGGAUUCUCCGUCGGCUGGAUUACUAGACCGCUGCUCCAGACCCAAUCCGGAGGAGAGGUGGACCCGGCUUGCCAGCGCCACGGCCCUUCGGGAGCUUCAGUUCAGACCUUCCCGGUGUUUGGGGAGCUCACUGAGCCGUGCAGAGUAGCAACGCCCGGCUUCUGCUCCAUCGAAUUAUUUAAAUGUAAAAGAAUCUGCACGCGUGCUUCUAAAAUGUUCUUGGUGAUCAGGCAGAAAUAACAACAACAAAGACAUGGCCCCGGGUCGCACAGCUGUUCACCAAGGAGCUGCCCAGCUCUCCGCCUCUCCGAGCUGUGUAGAUAUCUGCAGUCAACCGAAUCCGAGUUGCAAAAGCAGCCCUCAUCUGAUUCCUCGCCCUCUGCCCUGCUGACCCACAUCCCCUUCUCCAAGCCGCAUUCCUGCGGCCCUAGCAAAGACCCCGGUGGAUGGAUGCUUCCAGAACGCAAGUGUUCCAAGCAGCAGCCGAGAACCGAGUUUUGACCGACUUUGGGUCAUUGGGACUGAGAUGCCCUCCAUGCGCUCGGCUCCACGUCCCUCCGCCCCAAGGAGGCCCAGGACUGUGGUUUCUCUUUGCUUCCGCCCAGUCCUGCCCACAUGGAGGCUUGGCGGGCUUCCCCCACAUGAAGCCCACGGCUCUGAGCCUCAGUUUCCCUGUAAUUUUCAGAUCGGAGAUACAGCAGACAAAUGGGGACAUGUUCAAAUGGGUUGCUUGGUGGCAGGGCUGAAGUUUUGUGUGUCCAGGGCCCACGACUGGAAUCAGGGCUGCCAGCUCAGCCCUCUCCUGGGGCAGAAGUCAGAAGAAACCCGGGGGGGGGGGGCUCACUUCUCACACUAGCAGGGGUGCUGCGGCUCAGUCUCCCAAGGGCGGGCCACAGGCUGGUGGAGCUCAGCGGGCAGAGGGGGAUAAGUGAGGCUCUGCAAGGGGCCAGUGGUCUGCUGGGUUGCAACAAAAUAUACUAAACCUAGGGGCUGGCAUGUGGAGCCUGGGAGCUUUGGUUUCUGUUUUAUUUUAUUUUGUUGUGUCGUGUUGUGUUUUGAGACAGUCUCACCGUGUAUUUUGGAUUGGUCUUGAACUCACUAUGUAGCCCAGGCUGACCUCAACUCCAGGCAAUCCUCCUGCUUCAGCCUCCCUUGUGCAGAGAUUACAGGUGUGUACCACCAUGCUCAGCAGAGCUAGAAGCUUUGGAUAUAUCCUUAACCUCUCUAAGCCUCAGCUGCCUCCUCUGAAAAAUGGGAUAACAGUUCAAGCCCGAGGUGACCGUGGCAGGAAGGCAGUGAGGUCAGGGGUGCACCUUUCUCAGCCCAGCCUCUUAGGAAUCUCGGAGUGGGGAGCACAGAGUCAGCGCCCCCGGAAUCCUUAGAUAUUUGGGUGUGGUCGACAGCACCCAGUGUUUGGGGUUGGAAUCUUUUCAGGUUUGGGAGUGUUUGCAGAAGGAGCUGUGUUACCUCAGGUACACUCUGUACACACAGCCUGGAGCGAAUUGUAUACCACCUUUCUCUACGCCCCAGGCUUCUCUUUU
ensembl:lincRNA